GGAGGAGUGGCCGAGCGGUCGAAGGCAACGGACUUGAAAUCCGUCGUGCCCUCACGGGUACCGUGGGUUCGAAUCCCACCUCCUCCG
rnacentral:tRNA from 1 species